UAGUCCACGCCGUAAACGAUGUCGACUUGGAGGUUGUGCCCUUGAGGCGUGGCUUCCGGAGCUAACGCGUUAAGUCGACCGCCUGGGGAGUACGGCCGCAAGGUUAAAACUCAAAUGAAUUGACGGGGGCCCGCACAAGCGGUGGAGCAUGUGGUUUAAUUCGAUGCAACGCGAAGAACCUUACCUGGUCUUGACAUCCACGGAAGUUUUCAGAGAUGAGAAUGUGCCUUCGGGAACCGUGAGACAGGUGCUGCAUGGCUGUCGUCAGCUCGUGUUGUGAAAUGUUGGGUUAAGUCCCGCAACGAGCGCAACCCUUAUCCUUUGUUGCCAGCGGUCCGGCCGGGAACUCAAAGGAGACUGCCAGUGAUAAACUGGAGGAAGGUGGGGAUGACGUCAAGUCAUCAUGGCCCUUACGACCAGGGCUACACACGUGCUACAAUGGCGCAUACAAAGAGAAGCGACCUCGCGAGAGCAAGCGGACCUCAUAAAGUGCGUCGUAGUCCGGAUUGGAGUCUGCAACUCGACUCCAUGAAGUCGGAAUCGCUAGUAAUCGUGGAUCAGAAUGCCACGGUGAAUACGUUCCCGGGCCUUGUACACACCGCCCGUCACACCAUGGGAGUGGGUUGCAAAAGAAGUAGGUAGCUUAACCUUCGGGAGGGCGCUUACCACUUUGUGAUUCAUGACUGGGGUGAAGUCGUAACAAGGUAACCGUAGGGGAACCUGCGGUUGGAUCACCUCCUUACCUUAAAGAAGC
rnacentral:rRNA from 2 species